rnacentral:rRNA from 1 species
GUCGAGCGGCAGCACGGGUACUUGUACCUGGUGGCGAGCGGCGGACGGGUGAGUAAUGCCUAGGAAUCUGCCUGGUAGUGGGGGAUAACGCUCGGAAACGGACGCUAAUACCGCAUACGUCCUACGGGAGAAAGCAGGGGACCUUCGGGCCUUGCGCUAUCAGAUGAGCCUAGGUCGGAUUAGCUAGUUGGUGAGGUAAUGGCUCACCAAGGCGACGAUCCGUAACUGGUCUGAGAGGAUGAUCAGUCACACUGGAACUGAGACACGGUCCAGACUCCUACGGGAGGCAGCAGUGGGGAAUAUUGGACAAUGGGCGAAAGCCUGAUCCAGCCAUGCCGCGUGUGUGAAGAAGGUCUUCGGAUUGUAAAGCACUUUAAGUUGGGAGGAAGGGCAGUUACCUAAUACGUNUCUGUUUUGACGUUACCGACAGAAUAAGCACCGGCUAACUCUGUGCCAGCAGCCGCGGUAAUACAGAGGGUGCAAGCGUUAAUCGGAAUUACUGGGCGUAAAGCGCGCGUAGGUGGUUUGUUAAGUUGAAUGUGAAAUCCCCGGGCUCAACCUGGGAACUGCAUCCAAAACUGGCAAGCUAGAGUAUGGUAGAGGGUGGUGGAAUUUCCUGUGUAGCGGUGAAAUGCGUAGAUAUAGGAAGGAACACCAGUGGCGAAGGCGACCACCUGGACUGAUACUGACACUGAGGUGCGAAAGCGUGGGGAGCAAAC